rnacentral:rRNA from 1 species
AGAGUUUGAUCCUGGCUCAGGAUGAACGCUAGCGGCAGGCUUAACACAUGCAAGUCGAGGGGUAAAAAUGGCUUCGGCUAUUUGAGACCGGCAAACGGGUGCGGAACACGUACACAACCUACCUUUAUCAGGGGAAUAGCCCAGAGAAAUUUGGAUUAAUGCCCCAUAGUAUUAUUUGAUGGCAUCAUUAGAUAAUUAAAGAACUUCGGAUAGAGAUGGGUGUGCGUAAGAUUAGCUAGUUGGUAAGGUAACGGCUUACCAAGGCGACGAUCUUUAGCUGAUGUGAGAGCAUGAUCAGCCACACGGGCACUGAGACACGGGCCCGACUCCUACGGGAGGCAGCAGUGAGGAAUAUUGGUCAAUGGACGGAAGUCUGAACCAGCCAUGCCGCGUGAAGGAUGAAGGCGUUCUGCGUUGUAAACUUCUUUUAUUUGAGAAGAAACCACUUUUUCUAAGAGUGUUGACGGUAUCAGAUGAAUAAGCACCGGCUAACUCCGUG